GCAGUGACAACAGAGUCCUGUAAACAAACUCACACACUCAUUUUCAGCAACACCCUGCACAGUAAAAUCAGCAGUGUAUUUGCAUUGUUAAAAGUUAUUAAUUCACAAAGAGUUGACAAUCUACAGUUUUAAACAGGACUCAUGUUCAGUGUUGUUAUAUUGUGUAAUUUAACUUUUACACAAAGUGCGAAAUAAAAAAACAGCUGAAUUUUCUGGACUCCGCCCCUCAGUGACUGCUGACUCGAGAAGCGAUAACGCCAUAUUUACUUCGAGGGAACGAGACGGUUUAGUGUCAAGUUCGUGUUCGUGAGGUGCUGAGAUGUAAGUUACAGAAGAGUGAAUGUUUCUCAUGCAGUUUCAAUUUCCUGAAAAAAAGUUUAUUUCGUUAACGUCCUCUCGCCUCUGUUCCCGCCGAGGCCUGUGUUAUGGCUACAAGCAUCAUCUGUAUUUGGGCUGCACACAUCACUUCCCCAGAGGUGGAAGCCUUUGCUGCAGGACCUUUCGAGGUGGUGAUGCACACUCUAGUCCCUGAAUAUGUUCUCGAGGUCACUGUAGUGCCAGAAUCCGCACCAAUCUUUGAGUCCGCUUCAGUUUCCAUCAUCAUGGCAAGGAGUGCUGCUUCCUGUUCCCAUAAUUCCAGUUCUCUCGCCACGGUCAGGAGCACCGUUUCAUGUUCCAAUGCUUCCAGUUCCCUCAUCACGGCCGGGAGUGCGGUUUUCUGUUCCAGUGACUCCUGUUCCAGUGUCUCCCUAGGUGUCGGCAUCUCCAGCACCUCUGGGGUUAUUGGGUGUGUUUGCUUCAGCUCCCUCCACAACAGGGGUAUCCUCUUAUGAACUCUUUCUCUGUGCUGAUGAGGUCACAGAGACCAUCAGUGAAUCCCCUGUCAUACCCGACUUCUCCAGGAAAAGACUACAAUUUUGUUUUUGUGUUUUCAUGUUUUUUUUUUUUUUU